GUUUGGGGAAAUGCUUUGAACAUUUAUUAUUUUGCAUGCACUGGGAAUUGGGAUUUUGAUCUCCACAUACCCCAUGCAUCAUAAAUUGGACCACAGCCUCAUAUCCUUUUGGAUCAGCAUCCUUAUCUGGUAUUUCUGCUGAUACGAUUUUGUCAAUGUCUGAAGGAGACUUUGGUUUAUCAUUUUGGUGCAGGAACAACAAAAUAUGCGCAUGGGGAAGCCCUCGCUUUUGAAACUCAAUGUUGUAAAUUGCUCGAAAAAAAAGCUGUUCAUCAUAAUGUGAUAUAAAAUUAACAAAGGGACGAUAAACGGUUUGGCGUCCCAAAAAUUUUUGAAACGCCAAUUGGUUGGGCGUUUAGGAAAUAUUUUACCGAAAUUCAAAUGUCAGGAUGAUGUAGACGGUAGGGUUCAUAGUUUUUUUGGUCAUCUAACGGUUGACAGAUCAGACGCCAAAUGGUUUGGCGUCUGACUAUAUAUCAUUUGGCGUUUUUCACUUGAAUCUUGAAUUUUUGUAAGGCUUGGAUUUUGAGUUUUGGUGAUGUGUCGUGGAUGUGAAUGUUAAAUCUUGGGUGACGAUUGGAUUAAGCCUUAAGCUGAGUUCUAUGGAGUUUCAUGGUCCAAGCUUGUAGCUCGGCGGUUUCCCAUCAACUCCAGUAAGGAGGAAGUCACAUGGGUUUAAUACCCACAGUAAAGAUUUGUAUUAGGGUAGUUGUAUAGUUGGGUUUGGCGGGUUGAGUUUGCAGUCGGGCCAGUUCAACUGGACGGUUCGGAUAGGGGCCAGGGCCCGGUUUUCUCAUAUAAAAAUAAAUAAAUUAUGGAGCUUCAAAUUAAGAUCCACAUCACCUUGAAUUAGGUCGGGCUGUCAUGGCAUUGAAGGUUUGAAAAAUAUGAAACAAAAUAGGAGCGUGGAACGGUUUAGCAAAAAAUAAAAAAUGGACCCAACAUUAGACAACUGCUUGACCAGGAAAUUUUAGUUGACGCGCUAAACCAUUCAACGCGAUACUAAUAAAUGUAUACGAAAGAACUCAGUUUUCCUUCUCCUGGUUCGCUCCAAAUCCUACUUUUUCUUUCAUCAAAUCACAAAGAUUUUGAGAGAUCUUUAUCAAUUUGUAAUAAGGGUUUAUUGUUCUUGUUACUGUGAAGAUAUAUGUAUUUAUUUAUUCGAACCACAAAUGAUUUCGAGGUAAGGUUUUGAAGCAAUUCUCAUUUUAAUAGAAUUUUAGUAUUUUUAUUCA